rnacentral:rRNA from 1 species
UACGUAGGGGGCAAGCGUUAUCCGGAAUUACUGGGUGUAAAGGGAGCGUAGACGGUAAUGUAAGUCUGGAGUGAAAGGCGGGGGCCCAACCCCCGGACUGCUCUGGAAACUAUGUUACUAGAGUGCAGGAGAGGUAAGCGGAAUUCCUAGUGUAGCGGUGAAAUGCGUAGAUAUUAGGAGGAACACCAGUGGCGAAGGCGGCUUACUGGAUUGUAACUGACGUUGAGGCUCGAAAGCGUGGGGAGCAAACAGG